rnacentral:rRNA from 1 species
GACUACUGGGGUAUCUAAUCCUGUUUGCUACCCACGCUUUCGCGCCUCAGCGUCAGGAAAUGUCCAGUAGACUGCCUUCGCCAUUGGUAUUCCUCCCGAUAUCUACACAUGUCACCGUUACACCGGGAAUUCUAUCUACCUCUACAUUCCUCUAGCUUGCCAGUAUGCGGUGCGGUUUCCGGGUUGAGCCCUGGAGAUUUCACACCACACUUAACAAGCCGCCUACGCGCCCUUUACGCCCAGUAAAUCCGGACAACGCUUGCUCCCUCCGUAUUACCGCGGCUGCUGGCACGGAGUUAGCCGGAGCUUAUUCGCCAGGUACCGUCCUAAGUCUUUCCUGGCAAAAGGAGUUUACAGACCGAAAUCCGUCAUCCUCCACGCGGCGUCGCUGCAUCAGGGUUUCCCCCAUUGUGCAAGAUUCCCCACUGCUGCCCCCCGUAGG